UACGUAGGGCGCAAGCGUUGUCCGGAAUUAUUGGGCGUAAAGAGCUCGUAGGCGGCUUGUCACGUCGGGUGUGAAAGCCCGGGGCUUAACCCCGGGUCUGCAUUCGAUACGGGCUGGCUAGAGUGUGGUAGGGGAGAUCGGAAUUCCUGGUGUAGCGGUGAAAUGCGCAGAUAUCAGGAGGAACACCGGUGGCGAAGGCGGAUCUCUGGGCCAUUACUGACGCUGAGGAGCGAAAGCCAGGGGAGCAAACGGG
rnacentral:rRNA from 1 species